rnacentral:piRNA from 2 species
GGCUGUGUACACAAGAAGGGAUUGCAUGG